ensembl:lncRNA
CUGGUUCAAAAGUUUUAUUCUGAUUCCUAAAGGCUUCUGAAAAACUCCUUACAAAAAGCAGUUCAGGAACCACAGUUACCACAGGUAGAAAUCACUACAUGGCAUCAAAAGGUAGAUCCAGAUUCAAAACACAUUAGUCAGUUUUCAUGAUGUCAGAUGCUUGAAGAGUGACAUUUCAUUUUUUAAUUUCAUUUAAUUAUUCUUCCGAUAUCCCUAAACCACAGCCACCUUUUCCACUCCCUUUAAGCUGCUGGCUGAGAACAGAAGUAAUAUUGCACCAUUCAGAAGAGGCAAAAGAAUAAAAUAUAAAGAUAAAUAAGAAUAACAAAAAAAUUUAAGUAAAACCUGAUGGCAGCAGCCCAUUGUCACAUGAAGAAUAGUGCGGUGGUGUUCUGUCAGUGACGAUUAGUGCUUUCACUCAGAAGUGUUUGUACAGAAAAAUCAGUAUUUGUUCACUGCUCAAGCUGGCAGAUAUACAGGCUCACAAAAGACAUUUCAGCUUUUUCAGUUGAUAAAGCACCUGCUGCUGUGAACAGCUAACAGAGUUACAAUUUGUUUCCACACCACCUUCAUCCUGAUGGAAUAUCAGCAGAACUUUUCAGACAAAUCAAUACAUGUAUUUGAAACUUGGGUAGUUCCAAAGUGUGCUAGAUUGAACUAAAAAAAAACCAAAACAAAACCAAAACCACCAAACUUGUUAGACAUUUUGCAAGCACUUGUACUUAGAAGACAAACUGGAUUGUUCCAGUAACAAAAUCCGGAACGGCUUCCUCGCUCUGGUUCAUGUUCCCAGUACUGACGAGCAAGCCCUUGCAGAAGCUCCGUUGAACAUGACCCUGCCAAAGGUAACCACCAUGUCACAAGCUGUAUGAAGCUGCAGUGCGCUCCUGAAGCUGUUGGGCUUCUUUCUGGUCUUCCUUCAAGGCAAUGUUAGCGUUAUACACAUCCAUACAAAAAAAAUUCACUGUGUUGAUGGGCAUUUAAGAGACUCAAACUGGUAUGAGAGAGUCCCCUCGAGCAUAGAGCCUACUCACAUAAAGAUUUAAUUCUCAGUUUUGGAAGCUUCUUCAGAAUUUAUCCAAAGACAUUCUCUGAGCCUGUCAGGCGGAGAACAAUGGUGACGAAGAAAUCCUAGAGGAGCUGCUCUGUCAGACAGCUAAAUAUCACUACUAGUAUAAAGUAGAAGGAAGGUAUUUUUAUCAACACCAGAGUUCUCAGGGUGGAUGUUUAGAUCUGUGUAUUACAUUUAGAGCAAGGACAAGUAAAGAAGCCCAUACGUGAGUGCACUUCAAUUAAUCACCAUCCUCUCAGUGAAACUUCAAAUCUGAUCUAAUUUAGCCUGGUUAUAGCAAGGCCUUUGUCUGGGAAGUCUGAGCAACAUUCAAUCUAAGUGACCAUUAGCACAUGACAGAGAGAGGAUACAGGUAGAGCUAGGGGUCAGAGAAUCAAAUGUUCUUGAAAGUAUUUUUUAGAUGAGACCUUUAAAUCCAAAAUGAGAUAAAUGCUAGACGAAUAUCCUCAGAGAGCUCUCUCCAGUUGCAGGCUUUGCAUGGGAUCCAAGAUCCAACCUGGGACACUUUACUGGUGUCCUGCUCUCCACAGGACAGACACACAUCUCUGACAACUAAAACCUGUCAUAGUUCUCACAUCUAAGGACAGAAACAACUAAAAAUCAUCCAAUGCUUUCACAAGUCUUGGACAACCAUUACUCUGUCUGAAAUACAGAGCUUCAUGAUGCUCUGUUUUC